rnacentral:tRNA from 1 species
GCACCGGUCGUUCAAUGGUAGGACGGGGGCCUUCCAAGCCUCAGACAUGGGUUCGAUUCCCGUUCGGUGCA